GCAGCGUCACUUCUGGUGACGUCACGGCCUGGAAGCCGGAAGUGAGCUGCGAUGUCCAGGGACGGCGUGGAAAGGGAACAGAGGCUCCUUCCAGGAUCGUCUUCCAGCCCAAUUGCUAACCGGACCCGAGCAAAUGAUUAUGAUAGGGGCCGUAACUAGGAAUGUGCAAGCGGAACCGUGGUACAGAGAUGAUGAUACUGCACUGGUUGCAUUCUGCACCGCAGCCCUGGUAGUCACCGGCUGCUGACCUGAAUGCUCCGCUCCAUGCUAAGAGCCCCAGCACGUUAGCCGGACGGACCGGAGCUGUGUCACUUCCGGGGUGUAGUGAAUACAGGACCGGAAACCGGGCAGCGUGACAGGGAGCAGCAGGGAGGACUCUGUUACACACCAGGUAUUUAAGCACUUUAUGUAAUGUUAGCAUUUAUCCUGACGAAGGGGCUGCGACCCCGAUACGUAGAUCGAUUAUGCUACAAUAAAAGCACCGUUUUCUUCACUUUAACCAAGUCUCCCAGUGCCGCUUUCAUGGAGGAUUUAUGUACGGGAGUAUGCACUCUCGUCUAAGAGGGCACGGGAGCAGCUGUAUCUGACGGAGGGAACACACAGGAGU